AGGGUAAUAGCUCAAUGGUAGGGCCCUUGCUUAGCAUGCACGAGGUCCUGGGUUCAAUCCCCAGUACCACUG
rnacentral:tRNA from 1 species